rnacentral:rRNA from 1 species
UUGUCGUCAGCUCGUGUCGUGAGAUGUUGGGUUAAGUCCCGCAACGAGCGCAACCCCUAUUGUUAGUUGCCAUCAUUCAGUUGGGCACUCUAGCGAGACUGCCGGUAAUAAACCGGAGGAAGUGGGAUGACGUCAAUCAUCAUGCCCCUUAUGACCUGGGCUACACACGUGCUACAAUGGUUGGUACAACGAGCUGCGAGUCGGUGACGGCGAGCUAAUCUCUUAAAGCCAAUCUCAGUUCGGAUUGUAGGCUGCAACUCGCCUACAUGAAGUCGGAAUCGCUAGUAAUCGCGGAUCAGCACGCCGCGGUCGAAUACGUUCCCGGCCUU